rnacentral:lncRNA from 1 species
CUUUUUAAGAGUAAUCUUCAAACACCGCUCCCGUGGUUUCACACUUUCUCACAUUAGUACCCUAUGGUUUAAAGUGUAUCAAGAUAGCCCCUGUGGUUUUGCACUUUCUCACUUUAGUAUCCUGUGGUUUAAAAUAUAUCGAGUUAGUAUCCUGUGGUUUCAUUUAUCUCUUUUUAUUAUCCAUUUCACUAUUUUUUUCGUUAAAUUAAUGACAAAAUUAAAAUUAAAGAGUACUAAAGUGAAUAUUCGAUAAAUCUAGGUAUGGUAUCUAAAAAGUUUUCUGCAUGUAAUUUAACAAAAUAUUAACGCAGAAAAAAAAAUCAGUGACAAAGUUAAAAUUAAAGGGUACUAAAGUGAAUAUUCGAUAAAUCUAGAUAGGGUAUCUAAGGUUUUCUGUAUAUAAUUUAACACAAUAUUAACGGAGGAAAAAAAAAUCAAUGACAAAGUUAAAACAAAAGGGUACUAAAGUAAAUAUUCGAUAAACCUAGAUAGGGUAUCUGAAGUUUUUUAUAUAUAAUUUANAAUGACAAAGUUAAAACAAAAGGGUACUAAAGUAAAUAUUCGAUAAACCUAGAUAGGGUAUCUGAAGUUUUUUAUAUAUAAUUUAAUGAAAUAUUAACAGAGGAGCCGAUGAAAAGAGAAAAAUGAAACCACAGGAUAUUAAAUUGAUGCACUUUAAACCACAGGGUACUAAAGUGAGAAAGUGUAAAACCACAGGGUACUAAAUUGAUACACUUUAAACCAGUGGAUGCUAAAGUGAAAAGUGCAAAACGAUGGAGGUGGUAUUUGAAGUUUUUCUACUUUUUAAUGUAUGAUUGUACGUGUCAAACAUAUAUAUUUUUAAGAAAAACAUAGCACGCAUGCUGUCUACUUCGUUUAUUUUUGAAAAAUAAAUUCAACUAGAAAUAUAAAGUAAUUAAGUUUCAAACUUAGAAUUUCGAAUAUCAACAAUCAAAUUCUCAGCCAACUGUAAUAAUUACAGUCGGU